rnacentral:rRNA from 1 species
AUUAUUUUAAGCUAUAUUUUGUUAAUAUAUAUUUUGUAUGAAACCAAAAAAUUUUGGCGGUAUUUUAAGCUUUUUAGAGGAAUUUGCUCUUUAAUGGAUAAAACGCCAAAAUCUUACUUAAUUUUGUUAAAACAGUUUGUAUACCACUAUGAUUAAUAAUAUUGAAUAAUAAAUUAUUUAAAUUUUUUAAAAUUAAAAAUAAAAUGUUAAGUCAAGGUGCAGCAUAAAAUUAUGAAUGAAGUGAAUUACAAUGAUUUUUAUAUUAACAUUAUAAUUGAAAAAAAAAUAAAUUAGGAUUUAAAAGUAAAUUAAUAAUAUAAUGAUUAAUUGAAAAAAGCUCUGAAAUAUGCAC